rnacentral:pre_miRNA from 1 species
AGGGGAAGAGCUGGGUAAAAUGGUGGUUUCAUUCCCAGAUUUCCAAGGAAUCUCCAUACUGCUUUCUAAAUUGGCUCCACCAAUUUGCAGUCCCACCAGCAAU